rnacentral:rRNA from 1 species
AAGUUUGAUGGCGACCGGCGCACGGUGAGUAACACGUAUCCAACCUGCCGAUGACUCGGGGAUAGCCUUUCGAAAGAAAGAUUAAUACCCGAUGGCAUAGUUCUUCCGCAUGGUAGAACUAUUAAAGAAUUUCGGUCAUCGAUGGGGAUGCGUUCCAUUAGGUUGUUGCGGGUAACGGCCCACCAAGCCUUCGAUGGAUAGGGGUUCUGAGAGGAAGGUCCCCCACAUUGGAACUGAGACACGGUCCAAACUCCUACGGGAGGCAGCAUG